UACGUAGGGUGCAAGCGUUAAUCGGAAUUACUGGGCGUAAAGGGCGCGUAGGCGGCCACGACAAGUCAGUUGUGAAAUCUCUGGGCUUAACUCAGAACGGUCAACUGAUACUGUCGGGCUAGAGUGCAGAAGGGGCAACUGGAAUUCUCGGUGUAGCGGUGAAAUGCGUAGAUAUCGAGAGGAACACCUGCGGCGAAGGCGGGUUGCUGGGCUGACACUGACGCUGAGGCGCGAAAGCUAGGGGAGCGAACGGG
rnacentral:rRNA from 1 species